AUCAGACAGACAGUGAGACAGACUCAUCAGACAGACAGUGAGACAGAUGGACAGACUGAUCAGACAGACAGUGAGACAGACGGACAGACAGGUGCCUCAGUCUUGAUGUGAACUUCUGUGCUGCUGCAGAUGUUCUUGAUCUUCUCCAUGAACUCCACCUCAGACUUCAGGAAGGAGAGUUUCUCCUCUAAACGACCCGACGCCUCCUUCAGCUGGAGGAGGAAACAAAGCUCAAGAUGAAGUUUUAUUUGACAGCCUCCUCUGAAACAACUUCAUCUCCUGAGGAGCAAAAUCACCUCCUUCACUAAACAACCUGCAGGAGGAGAAAACAUUUCUUUAGACUUGAACUUUGGCCCAGCCUGGUGACCUGCCCAGGUGAACCCUGCCCAUUUGAACACUAUCCAGGUGAACCCUGCUCAGGUGAACCCUAUCCAGGUGAACCCUGCCCAUGUGAACCAUACUCAGAUCCUGCCCGUCACACCUCAUCAUCCCUCAUUCCCUUCACCUGGUCCUCAAGCCCGUUUCACCUGUUACCCAUUACCUCAUUAGUCCCUCACUACUGAGGUCCCUUCACUUGCACUUGUCAUCUGCCAGAUUGUUUUGUGUGUUAGUGCCAAACUCUCCAGCGUAUCUUUGUCCCAUGCCUGCUUCACCUGUUCUGACUCUGUUUCGUCUGUUCGGUCGACCCUGGAUUUUGCCCCUUCUCGGAUUUGUUUGCCUGUUUUGACUGACCUCCAGAUUUUGACCCUGCCUGAAACUAAGUAAAAGAGUUUUGCUUGUC